rnacentral:rRNA from 1 species
GGGGGGCAAGCGUUGUUCGGAAUUACUGGGCGUAAAGGGCUUGUAGGUGGCCAACUAAGUCAGACGUGAAAUCCCUCGGCUUAACCGGGGAACUGCGUCUGAUACUGGAUGGCUGGAGUGUGGGAGAGGGAUGCGGAAUUCCAGGUGUAGCGGUGAAAUGCGUAGAUAUCUGGAGGAACCCCGGUGGCGAAGGCGGCAUCCUGGACCAUUACUGACACUGAAAAGCGAAAGCCAGGGGAGCAAACGGG